ACGCGUGGGAAUCUGCCCUUGGGUUCGGAAUAACAGUUAGAAAUGACUGCUAAUACCGGAUGAUGACGUUAAGUCCAAAGAUUUAUCGCCCGAGGAUGAGCCCGCGUAGGAUUAGCUAGUUGGUGUGGUAAGAGCGCACCAAGGCGACGAUCCUUAGCUGGUCUGAGAGGAUGAUCAGCCACACUGGGACUGAGACACGGCCCAGACUCCUACGGGA
rnacentral:ncRNA from 1 species